AUGCGUAGGGAAGCACGGACCUGGAAGGGGUGGCUUUCAAGUCCUUCACAUUGUCGGAGCAAAGCAUUGUUCACAGAAGGUAGCAAGAAUGACCACAACAAACCCAUCCACAAAUAUACUGCAAAAUAGUGUUGCAAAUAAAAAUCCAAAAAAGAAAUAUAGAAAACCAAUGACACAGACAUUAUAUUGGCAGCAAAUGGUAACUCCUAUGAAUAGGGGCCUUACAGUGAACAGACACAGGAAAUGGGAGGACAGCUGUUUGUCGAUUUUAAGUGGCAUCAUUAAGAUAGAUAGAAUCAUACUAAAGGCGGCAUUUGACUUCCAGGAAAGGAAGACCCUUGAAGAAAGUGAAGUCAAACUCAUGUCAGAGAACGGGAUUCCAGGAAGAGGGAAGACAGAGCUUGUCUGGAGCUUUUGUAGUGACCAGCAUGGUCAGAGUGAGCAUCCAGUUCACUAAGAACUUUGUAGACCACUGUAAAAGAUUUGGCUCUCACAUAGUAGGAAAUGGAGAGCUAUUGCCAACCAAGUCUCGAGCAGAGGAGUUGCCAUCUGAAUUUUCUUUUAAAAACAAACAAACAAACAAACAGAAUCUCAUUGGAUAGCAGAAGUUGGUCUUCAACUUCCAAUCCUGCGUCUACCAGGUCCUGGUUCUACCGGGUGUGCCUCAGACAUCUUGCCUGUUCUUUUCUUUUUAAAGAGUGUAUUUGAGGGCCUUCUGAGACUUAGACUACAGAAAGUCAGAAGGAGAAAUAUGAUUUAAUGUGGCCAGGAACAAACAUGAAGCUUCGCCUAGGCUUGGCUGGGGCUCAUAAAGGUGUUGAAGAAUUGCUUAUGCCUGAAUUUCUUUUAAAGGC
rnacentral:lncRNA from 1 species